AUUGAACGCUGGCGGCAGGCCUAACACAUGCAAGUCGAGCGGAGCGGCGGACGGGUGAGUAAUGCCUGGGAAUCUGCCUGGUCGUGGGGGAUAACGUCCGGAAACGGGCGCUAAUCUCGCACACUUUCAGAUGAGCCUAGGUCGGGUUAGCUAGCUGGUGGGGUGAAGGCCUACCAAGUCCACGAGCCGUAACUGGUCUGAGAGGAUGAUCAGUCACACGGGAACUGAGACACGGUCCAGAGUCCUACGUGAGGCAGCAGUGGGGAAUAUUGGACAAUGGGCGAAAGCCUGAUGCAGCCAGGCCGCGUGUGUGAAGAAGGUCUUAGGAUUGUAAAGCACUAUAAGUUGGGAGGCGUUACCCGCAGAAUAAGCACCGGCUAACUACGUGCCAGCAGCCGCGGUAAUUC
rnacentral:rRNA from 1 species